rnacentral:rRNA from 1 species
AACGAACGCUGGCGGCAGGCUUAACACAUGCAAGUCGAACGCCCCGCAAGGGGAGUGGCAGACGGGUGAGUAACGCGUGGGAAUCUACCCAGUUCUACGGAACAACAGUUGGAAACGACUGCUAAUACCGUAUACGCCCUACGGGGGAAAGAUUUAUCGGAAUUGGAUGAGCCCGCGUAAGAUUAGCUAGUUGGUGGGGGAAUGGCCUACCAAGGCGACGAUCUUUAGCUGGUCUGAGAGGAUGAUCAGCCACACUGGGACUGAGACACGGCCCAGACUCCUACGGGAGGCAGCAGUGGGGAAUAUUGGACAAUGGGCGCAAGCCUGAUCCAGCCAUGCCGCGUGAGUGAUGAAGGCCUUAGGGUUGUAAAGCUCUUUCACCGAUGAAGAUAAUGACGGUAGUCGGAGAAGAAGCCCCGGCUAACUUCGUGCCAGCCGCCGCAGUAACAC